GAAAUAAUGUGGUGCUGAGGUUGAAUGGACCACAGCCAACUCCCUCUGCCUGGGAAGUGAAGAGGAAGAAUGAAUUGUUUUCUAGAGGAGAUGGUGCUGGUUGGAAAGAAAAUGUCCAAAGAGAUCGGUGGAUGUGGAGACUUGGUCUGGCACUUGUGAGCAACAGUGUCCUUCACCAAGGCAGAGAUGUAAAAGACUAUCAAAGAAAGACAGAGUUGAAAGACCAGUUCUUCAGGAAAUCAUGUGCAUAUCAGACUUCAGUUUCUUCAGCCAUUUUUCCAGGGAGCUUCCAGCCUUUGACCUCAGACUGGUGCUGUGUCCUUGAUCCUUCUUGUCCUGCAGCUUCCAGCUUCUUGGACUGAGCAGCUACUGGGUUCACCAGGUCUCUAGUGCAGAGGGCCACUGUGGACUCCCCUACCUCUGAUCUUCACACGGUGGUGUCAUGUGGAGGGGAUUAGAGGCACAAGAAAGAGUGGCAGAGAGAAACUGGGGGCAUGAAUUGUGAUUGGUGAUGGGACAAUGACAGUUUCUCCUCUGCAAUGUCCCUCUGUCAUGCCACUCUGCCUUGGAGCCAGUCAAUGUUGGACUGAAAUCUCUACAAACUCAGAAGGCAUGACUGGGUUGGAACUCAAAACUUCCAUCAAGAAAAUCAAGAUUGUGGAAGAAGAGGACAAUGAUGAUCUGAAAUGACACUGUGGUGAUGGCACUGUCCAGAAGAAAGCCUGUCAUGGGGAACCUAAACUCAUACACUGGCAGUGACAUGGCUUCCUGAGAAUAGUCCGUACUACUCCAAGUAUUAGCUUUUGAUAUUAACAUUCACUUUAAUUUAAAUGUUACAAGUCUUGUUUAUCAUCAUGGUUAUAAAUAAGGACUAAAGAAUAUGAAGAUAGCAGGCUUGUGUAUGUCACCAGGUCACAAGCUCCAAACAAUCCAUCCAAAUUAUCAUACAUCUCUACCUAUUUAGAGACAAAGUUUUGAAGAAACUUAAAGGACCAAGAUCAGAAUUGCCUGACUAAAGUAAGGAUUUCUCUCUCAUCUAUCUAUAUAACGAAAAAUCUCUAUACAGUAUGCCAUCCAACCUUCAAUUCCAUAGAUACAAAUAACAUUUCCUAGGAUUAAUUAAAAAGAUUCUUACAAGACACUUAAGGUAAAUGAUGUUUUACAAAAACCACAGGAAAAAAGUGUAAUUACCAAAGCCAUUCUAGAUGUACUUUGUAACUCAAAAUGAGACAUAUGUUAUAGUAGAUCAAGUAAUCAUCCAUGCAUGCCAAAGGGGAAAAGGCAUGUGGAAAACUACACAAAUGUUUCAGAUGAGUUUUCCUAGAAGCUGAGACCAAGAUGAUAAUUCUUGAACAAGUGUUUUACUCAGAAGAAAUCUAUAAGGAAGGGAGGAAAGCAAGAAUAAUGCAGUAAUAAUGCAGCAAUAAUGUGGUUUCAGUUGAAAACUCACAUUAACUUGGCCUACGGGGAGCUCAGAAGUUGAACAGUGUCACAAAGAUAUCCAGCCUUGAAGAAAAGGGGACGAGCUUUUGUAUCCCAAUGUCAUUGGCUGUGAAGUGUCCCAACAGCAUUUCUGGUUGAGGAACUCAUGUUGGCUGAAGGAAGUUCUUCAGAGAAACACUCUUCUAUGAGCUGCCCUCAUAGGCACUGGGCAUGGUUCCAUUGACUGGUGAAGAAAAUCAGGACAAGGCACCAAAAGCAUUUAUUACAAGCUAUCCUUUGCACUGUUCAGAAUCACUUUCUCUUCCCUUUAAGAUCAUGGAAUUUGGGCAUGCUUUCUGUAGCAUUCUGUGGAAGCAACUACUCUGGAGGACCAAAAUCUCCAGGCUCACAGACUGUAAAGAUGCAGGCAUGAGAAGCGCUUAUCAAUGGGCGUGAUGAUUCAGAGACAGGAAUCUCCAAGAUCAAGGUACAACAGGGCCCAGCUUAUGAUGAAGACUUGCUUACAAAUGGCUGCCUUCUUUCUGCAACCUCAUAUGAUCUUUCUUCUGAGCACAUAAAGAGAGAAGGGGAGAGAGGAGCAGAGAAGGAGAGACACUCUCUCUCUUUCUAAAGUCGUUCCCAUACUAUUAAAUUGGGACCACCCUUAUGUCCUCACUUAAUCUUACUUAGCCCCUAAAAGCCCUAUCUGUGUAGUCAUAUUGGGGUUUAGGAAUUGGAGGAGUGCAUACUUCUGUCACAGUAAUGAGUGAGGAAGUUCUUGACUACACUACUAGUGAU
ensembl:lncRNA